rnacentral:rRNA from 1 species
UACGAAGGGGGCUAGCGUUGCUCGGAUUUACUGGGCGUAAAGGGCGCGUAGGCGGACAUUUAAGUCGGGGGUGAAAGCCCGGGGCUCAACCUCGGAAUUGCCUUCGAUACUGGAUGUCUUGAGUGUGAGAGAGGUGUGUGGAACUCCGAGUGUAGAGGUGAAAUUCGUAGAUAUUCGGAAGAACACCAGUGGCGAAGGCGACACACUGGCUCACUACUGACGCUGGAGGCGACGAAAGCGUGGGGAGCCAAACAGG